rnacentral:rRNA from 1 species
UUCGCAAUGCCCGAAAGGGUGACGAACCGACGCCGCGUGAGCGAAGAAGGCCCUAGGGUUGUAAAGCUCUGUCGGGGGUUAUGGAAUGUAAAUCGGUUAAUACCCGGUUUAUUUGACAAAGGCCCCAAAGGAAGCCACGGCUAACUCUGUGCCAGCAGCCGCGGUAAUACAGAGGUGGCAAGUGUUGUUCGGUAUUAUUGGGCGUAAAGAGCACGUAGGUGGUUUUGUAAGUCAGAUGUGAAAGCCUUCUGUUCAAAGGAAGAACGGCAUCUGAAACUACAGAUCUUGAGUGUAGGAGGGGAGAGUGGAACUUCUGGUGGAGCGGUGAAAUGCGUAGAUAUCAGAAGGAACGUCGGCGGCGAAAGCGACUCUCUGGCCUAUUACUGACACUGAGUGUGCGAAAGUUAGGGGAGCAAACGGGAUUAGAUACCCCGGUAGUCCUAACUGUAAACGAUGGGCACUAAGUAGAGGGGUUUU